ACUCGGCAUUUUUCUUUCCUCCAACCUUCCACGUCCUCGCUGCCAAACUGCCUCCGCGACCAAGCACACCUCGAUCUUUUCAAAGAAAUCCUGGAUGGAAGGCUGGUGUCCACCAGGGUUAUUGUGGUGAGAUUUGUGGAGGCAGAGGCGAGCGUGGCUUGUAUCCUACAGAAAGUAAAGGUGGCAAUGGCGAACGAUGAGGAAUAUGUCCUGACUGACGUUCAUGGAAAUGAGAUCAUGGAGACCGAGGGAACAACAGGGUCAUUAUACUGGAGGCAAAAUUCAAGGAAGAUCCAUGCUUUAGAAAAAACAUCAUAUCAGCAGUGGCAGACCAGGAGGACACGUACACAGUCAUUUUCCCCACAGUUAAAACAUGAGCUAAAACUAUGGAAUUAUCCGUUGAGAAUUGUUAAC